UUUCCAUGGGGGUCUGUAUGUGUCCCACUCUUCCACCUCCCUCAAUAUAAUGGACCCAGACUUAGGAAGGGUCUCUGACCUUUAUUUCACUGGAAUUAUCCAUUUAAGUAAAGUGCAGGGUGGAGCAGGGGUCCUGGGCAGGUUAAGGUCUGGCCAGAGGCAUCAAUCUGUACAGUUUCAGGCCCUGUCGGACCUUCUAGAACAGAAACUGGACUGCAGAUUGGGUUCAACCUCGAGGCUAUCUAAAGCUGAGCAGGUAUUCACCUGAUGGGCUUUAACUACGCUACAGUUCAGAGCAGUUUGCAACAAGGCUUCAGUCUUACUGACAAGCACCCGCCUUUCUACUUCGCUCCUGAGACUUGACCCUGAUAUUCAAUCUUUCCCAAUUGCCUCUCCUCCCAUGUAAGACGAUGACGGCAAAAGCUUCCGUUCAAUGUGACACAGCAUUCAGCACUGCGGUCAGCCCGUGCCAAUUGUGCGUGAUCUCCCGGGGCACUAGACGCCCCCCCCCCACACACGUGUCUGUGCCAGAUGCUGGUGACAGAAUGGAUGUCCUCAUUGCUGUCCAUCAGGGACAUACAGAGAGAAAUCAUUGUUCCUCCAUAAGGAAUAGAGCUGCCCCUUUCUUCUUCUCGGCUCUAAUCAUAGCGCCAAAGAGCACUGUAACUUUUUGGUAAGGUAAAGGAUUAUAAGAAUGAGUAAUUAUUUGUCAUAAAAGUGCAGGAAAGUUGAUAUUAAAGGCCUUGAAAGGAACAUCUCUCAGCACGUCAUACUUUUAUAUAUGAAAGGGACGGACGGGUCCAGCGCUAGAAAGAGCAAUGGUCCGUGAGGCUUGGACUUUGAUUAGAGGAAGGGCUCCUGGAAUCUAGUUAGGCAACCAUCCCUUUUUUUCUUUCAAUUUCACUCUUAAAAGUUGUCCAGAUCAGGCCAGCCCUGUUCACCAGCUCUCAAGUACAAAGAGCUGGUGGUAGUACUUCAAGACAGCCCAUCUUCUUCAAUCGCUUUGAAGGAAACUUUGGUGUUCAAAGAGGAGCUCCGAGCAGGUGGAUUUUAAUUCAUAGUUAACAAAAGCCAAAUGCCAGGCCAUUAAAAAAAAUCCUGUCAGUGUGAUGAUAGGGGAUGCUGAGUAUGGCCGCAUGCGUGAGAAAAGACCCGAAUGGUUUUUUUAAAAAAAAAAAAGGCAAAUUGAACAUGAAAACACUAAUGCUUUGCAAAAGUGGAACGGAAAUGAGCAAAGAAUGUAAAGUGCUGGAGAUAAUGGUUGCCAUGGCGAUUGUUUGUCCAUAGCUCCAACUGGAGAAACUCGGGUGAGAGUAAUUGACGAAGCCCUUUGUGGGGGCUAUCCCAUGAUGCUCUGCCUGCCACAGGCUUCCUUAGCCUGCCUCAGUAUCCAUCUUGCUAUCCUGGGGGCCUCAUCACAGUUGCGCCAGGACUACAAAAUACUGGAUCCGAAUUGACAGCACACCGGCAGCCCAGCAGCUCCGUCUUCUUCCCCACGUGUGGCUGUCGAUUGGCGGUUUUUUUCUCCCUAAUUACCCAUCUGCUAGAGAGGAAAGUAACACCACAUCAUUUAGAAGAAAUGCACCUGUUUAUCGAAAGGCAAGAAUAACCUAGUUUGCAAGGAUCCUUGGCUCUCCAACUUGCCUCCACAGACUCAAUAUCACUGCUGUUUUUCCAGGUGAUCAAAUGACUCUGACUCCAGACUUUCCAAAUCCGUCGUUCAACCUUCAUCUAUCAUUCCCUGCACGUGCUUUACAGCACGAGAGAGGUAUUUGGGACAGGGACGCUAAAGAAAAAUACAGGGAUCGUGUGGGUAGGGAGAGAUUUUUAGAGAAGAGAGGACUGGAAUGUAAAGAUGUCCACCAUCCUAAAAUCUUACAAGCCUCUUUUAAGGGCUUCUCAUCUUGCCCAGUAGGUUGGCGAGAGGUAUCAACAUUUGCAUUUCAAGGUUAAACAAAGGCCAUUCUGCGAUGGCCAGUAACCAGUACAAUUUAAUGAGAAGUUAUAGGGGCUGGAUACACAACUUGUUUUCUGUGGUAGCCAGGCAGCAGACGGCUCUGAUACAAAGUGUUCUGCUUGUUAGGUGCGGCUUCUAAUUAGAUGGGACCAAAAAAAAAAAAAAAAAAAAAAAACAACCCAAAAAACAAACAAAAAAGUGUGCUAAUGAUAUUUUUCAUGCCAGGAGAGUUUGAGAAGUUCCAUAACCAGUUGGUUUAUUUCUUUUUUUAAUAUAGCCAAAAGUUAUGCACACGAAUAGAAUAGAUAACAGGGGCCCAAACCCAAGAGCUGUAUGUUUUGUGACAUGCCUAGAUUCUCAGCACAAAACUAUGAAAUGGUCCAUUCAUUAUGCAUGAUUGCCCAAUACAUUACCACAAACUUUGGCUCAAGGCAACACUCAUUUAGUCUCAGUGUCUGAAGUCCAGCACUACAGGGCUCUUGCUGGAUUAGAAUGUCAAAGCUGGGGGUUUGUCUUUCCUAACUGGGUGGGGUAGAAUCAGGUGUGGUUCUAUGCUUUCACGAUGUUUACGGAAUCUAGCACCUUCUGGUUAUGGGACUGGACUGCAGGUCCCGUCCCGCCUCUCAGGGAGGAUGGUUUCACUUCAGGAAGCAUCUCUGGUGCCUUCAGAGCCCACACCCCACCACUGAGCUCCCGACAGUCAACACUUAACUUCUGCUCAGAAUCUCUUCUCCACCUCCAGAGAGUUUUUGAUUUUAAAGACCAGAUUACUUCAGAGACCUUUACUUAUUAGAGGCAGAAUCUUACUACUCAGUCCAGUUUGGCAUGAGACCCAGUAUCUAGCUACACUGGCUUCAACUCAUGAGCCAUUCUGCAUCUGCCUCCCUAUUAGUGCUGGCAAAAUGGCCACGCACCCCCACACCCAUUAACCUCACUACUUUAACAUGAUUAGUGAGUUAAAUGUAUGAUUUCUAUGAAGCCCCGUUUUGAUACUUGGAAUAACACAUUUGCAGUUUCCAGGAAUUAGAAAGUAGACUUCUUUGAAGGGCUGUUAUUCUUCCCACAAAAGGUAGGUAAUAUUUUCUUUUAGUUUUUCUCCAUUUUGCAGAAGGCCAUAGUGAGGGGUGCUUUAUUAGCCCGUUAGACCCAGCACAGCUAAUCAAUGGUCAAGCCUAGAUUGAAAAGAUGUUUGAUUUCAGAAGCCAAGUUUUCAAGUACUCUGCCGUACUGUAUAUCAGAGUACGUGACUGAUGCUGUUGACCAGUGUGCUCUCUUGCCUGUCUGGUCUUUCUCUAUGGGCAGUUCAGACUGUGAUUUGCUGGAUGCAAUAUUGUUAAAAGUAUUCACUGAAGAAUUGAUGUUGUGUCAAGCACUAGAGAUGCCACUUAGACCUUCGGCAGCUCUCAGUCUGGCUACAUUGGUUGAAUUGUUUUGGAAAUGCAUGGCUGUUUUCAACAUAUCUUUCUGGGCUUACAUUGGCAGGUUUUACUGUUCUUCCCAAUGUGAUACUCUUGCUUUAUAAACUUAUAUUUCCUUGCCAUGACUUUUUGGUAAUGGGCAUCUUUUCAUGCUAUUUAACACUGGGUAUAGCCAAGUAGCCUCCAGUGGUUGUGGUAGUAAAAUUAGCAGUUCUGGUGAUUUAAAUAUGCUUGCAUAAUUUGCAUUUUUCUCCCAUGUUAUUAUAAUCUCUCAUGAAAAGAUCUUAUAGCUACUAGACCUUAAAUGAUGAAGACAUACAAAUUAGUGUGACUGCAACCCACAGACAAGAGCUCAGCGAAUGACAAGCCAGGCAAACGAGCCAAUCCAGACAGACCUAAAAAAUAAAUGAGGGAGAAAACUAUACUAAUGUUGAUUUUCGCAAACCAGUAAAACUUUAGAUGUAUAUAGUCUGGAAAAUUGCAGGAAUCAAAACUCUCAAAAUAUCCCUUUCACUAAUAAUUUCAAUGGUAUAAAAAGUAUUGUUACUUAAAAGAAACCAUCACUAUUGCUUUAUUCACAAUUUUACACUGUCUAAGAAUCUUUCUAUAAUAAUAAUAAUAAUAAUAAUAAUGAUGAUGAUGAUGAUAAUAGUCUGUAGGGUUGAUUUAAAUAUUUUGGUGACUAAAAAGUUCGGUCAACUUCUGUGGAGGUCAGUGGUGGAAAGCAGGAAGCAUUAUUACAGAAUAGAGCUCUAGCCAAUUGUCACACAGUAGGCAGAGAAAGUAGAAAGGCAAGCCAUUGCCAUAGAGAAAUAUACUGCAUUUGAGAAGCUAUAUAACAAAAUGGAGGACUCUACCACAAAGUUUAACUUGCAAGGAAGCUAUUUAUAUAGGAAUGACUUAAAUAGGUAGUUGACUGAUGUUCCCUAGCCAGUGUGUGUGUUUUCUUAAAGUGGGUAGACCAGAUGGAUAUAACCAACACUCACCCUUUACCCACUCAGGACAUGAUCUUCUAUUCUGUAAGUUAUAAGAACAAAGACCAUUAUUUCCUUAGGCUCUUCUAAUUAGGCUGCUUGUGUACAAUUUCUGAUAUUCCAAAAUGGAGAAGAUAGAGUGGAUGACAACAUGAAGGAUUUUUAAAGGCCAUGGUAAUGGCAAAGGACAUCUUAAUACUUGUCUUCUAUAGUAAUAUCAAGCUCAGAUCAGAAAUACACCUUUAUCAAUCUCUUAUAAAACAUGCAUUUGAAUUAUCAUCUGCUAGUUACAUAUUUAGGCAAGUUCUUACUAUGAAUUUCAAGCUGUGUGAGGACUUGUCAUACUCCUGCCUCAGCCUACUAAGUGCUGGGAUGUAAAUGUGAGCUAAUAAGGCUGGCUUAAUUUUACUCCUUAACAAGUAAGUUAAUCUCUCUAACCUGAAGAACGCUAAGACUCAUCUAGUUUGACUAUUAUGAAGAUUAAAUUAUAACAUGCACCACAGUUCGUAGAACAUAGUAAGAGCCUGAGAAAUGUUGGUUGUUAGCCUUUGCCUUGGUGAACUCCUUCAGCUGCUCAUUAACUCCUGACAAAGGUGCCAUAGGGCAUAUUUGUUUAAAGAAAAGAAUACUUGAAAAAUUAAAAUAUUAAGGUGCUGUGGCCAUGUCUUUAGUCUCAGCACUCUGGAGUUGGGAGCAGAGUCAGAGUUAGGCAGAUCGCUGUGAGUCUGAGGCCAGCACAGUCUAUGGAGUGAAGUUCCAGGACAGUCAGGACUAAAUAACGUGACCUUGUCUCACAAAAACAAAAUGGAAAAUUAAUUAAAAUUAAAUAAUAUAUGAAACGACCUCAGUGAGAGGUAUAGCUAUUUCAACAUCAAAAUAGAAAUGAUUUUAUGUAAUAAAACUGUAUCUGUAUGUAAAAAUCUCAAAAAAUAAUGAAAAUAUGAAUAAUUAGCAAAAACACCCAGAAUAUUUGACUUAAGGAAUGACCAUUAAGGAUUGUUGGAUACAUCAAUUAAUAGAAACCUGAAUAUUAUUAGAUUUAGGAAGCAACAGCUUAGACUUCCUGGAUAGCAGAAUUGUUAAAAUCUGGAACAACAUUUUAGGAUUUGCAGUAGUCCAUCUAACUUGCUAAACCAAUGAGGUGAGCUCAACAUUUGCACCCACAAACGCAUACCACUUAAGAGAAAAACUUACUGAGAAAGGAAAGAUAGAUCCAUUAGCUAACACUGAAUCACAAGUCGCUGUGAAACUGCACUUGAAAUAAACAUUUAGCCAUGGAGAACCAGUGGUGGGUGGACUGGAAGAGGUCCAUCCCACCCUCCCCCUGUAGGUUAGCUGCAGGGAGCUUCGCUCAGCUUUGCUGGGGUUAGGCUGCAGCUGUGGUUAGGAGGAAUCAUCAAUCCUGUCUGUUUCCACUGGACUCUCAUUCCCAGCAGGUCAUGAGGCAUUAUGCCCACAUGAUAAUCUCAGAUAUACAAACCACAGCUGGUAUGUUCAAGAUUCUUGGGAAUCAAACUCACCCUGGCGUGCUUCCUCCCACAGGUUGUGCUGUCUAAUCAAAGCUCUCCCCACUGACAGUAGUCACAGGACAGGGACAGAAGAGAGGAGGAUUGGAGACAUUUCUGAGAGAAAGCACUAAAGAUGUUGCUACAAUGCUGGUUAUAUCACUGAGCAGGCCAGUUCUUCCUUUGAAGUUCUGAGUGUGAACCAGAGCCAUCUUUGUAUUUACUUAGAGAACCGAGGGAGGCCGAAACCCACAGAAGCUGGAGAAACUUUUGAUAUGCGCUGUCAUCAGGAAAGAAACUCUUUCAGGUCUGGUUCCACCACAUCCUGCAAAGUUCAAAACGACAUCGUGCGAAGUUCAAAACGAAUUCUACUUCAGUCUUAUCUCUAGCCUAAGAUACGUAAUUGUAAUUCAUCAAAAAAUAUCAACGGAGUUCUUGAUUGCCAGAAAGCCGUGACUCCUCUGCUGGGGAAGUGUAGGAAUUUUUGCACUUUGCAUCCUACUGAAAUUCUAAGCAGCUUUUGCUGCCACCGUUAAGUGAGGGUCACUUCCUACCUGGAGAACCAGAAAGAUUGGAAACGUCUUGAGGCAGCCGUGUGUAUGUCUGCAUGGUAGGUGUGUUCAGGUGGCCACGGAAGUGAGAAGGCGGCACUGGUCCCCUGGAACUCUAACAGCUGUGAGCUGCUGUGUGACUACAGGAAUAGAACCUAGUUCUUCCGCUAGGAAGCCAGCGCUCUUAACUACUGAGCCAUCUCUGCAGCCACAUGUGUAUAUGUUUUAAUGACCAUGUGUUCAUGCUAAAACAUGCUACUGAUCAUGUUGUAACAUGCUAUUUAUACUACCACUGAGCCAUCUCUGCAGCCACAUAUGUAUAUGUUUCAAUGACCAUGUGUUCAUGCUAAAACAUGGUACAGAUCAUGUUGUAACAUGCUAUUUAUGCUACCACGCACUCUAAAUUUUAUUAACAUUUUUGGCAAGUACUUUUGUCAAUAAUGGUAUUUUUGUUUGGUUGAUUACUGGCUGAUGACUUAAUUAUCUAGUUAGAAUUAUGUAUUAUGAGGCUGGAGAGCUAGCUCAUUAGUUAAGACAAUUAGCUUCUCUCCUAGAGGAUCCUAGCUCAGUUCCCGGCACCGAGACAACCUGUAUGUCUAGCUCUAGGGCUUUAAUGACCUCCUCUGGUCUCCUCUGACCUCUGUGGGCUCUGCAUCCAUGCAGUACACAGACACUCGAGAACAUUUCUAUACAUACAAUUUAAAAUAGAAUUCUUUUUAACUUUUAAUGUUUUCUAUUUUUCAACAUGGGGUAUAACAUUGUAGAAGUAGGUACUAUUUUUCCCCAGAGGAGGUACGUCCUUGCAGGGAAUAUUAGGUAUAUACUUAGAACCUUUGUGAAUGAAAAUCCAGUUGUUUGGCAAGACUAUUGAUAAGAAAGAAAUAGUUACAAACAAGACACAAAUGAGCUAAGAACACGAUUCUGUUAUUUCUGUUGGUUUGGUUAAUCUUCAAUUUAGUUAUAGGUCAAUGAAUGCAUUUUUUUCCUUAAGAUUUUGUGUUUCCUCUUCUGACUGAAGUGAGUAGUUGGGCCUUCCGAGUAGGAGUCUCACUUUCUCCCUUCGUCUGUGACCCGUGUCAUUGGUAUUCAGGCUUAUGUCUAGCAGGCUACCAGAGCCAACCUCCUGCCUGAGCAGUAGUGAGAGCAGACAUGUUGCUGGUGGCAGGACAGUGUUCCAGGCUUUCUAAUUAAGUGUAGCAUUACAGAUGUUUUAACUGCCUGUUAGCAAGUUGAGCAUUUUCAAUUUCCUCAGAUUUCCUAACCGCUUUUAUUAGAAAUAACUGUUAAACAUUACCAAAUUCUUUUUGUGCUUGGCUAUAGCCACAUAUACUCUUUUUCAUAGUCUGCUUAUCGUGAAUUCCAUCCAUUAACUCUUUAACAUUAUGACACUUAUGAUGCACAUAUGUAUCUAUAUGUAUCUUAUUUCGCAAAUUGCCUAAGUGUUUGUAUAGAAUUUUAUGUCUGAGCAUAUUGUUUAUAUACAAUUUCAUAUCUGAACACCUUUUUCAUCACAUGGAAAAACAGAAUUAUUAUGAAUAUUGAUUUUUAAAAAAGCCAUGAAGAUAAAAUGUCAAAAAAAAAACCAAGAAAGCUCCAGUGUGACUGCUCCUGUGGUGAGGCUCUCGGAGAGGCAGAGUCCUCCCAGCAGGACCAUAUUUUCUAAGACAGAAAUUUGUGUUGUGGUAAAAAUAAAAUCAUCAAGUAGUUAGGCAUAUGUGCUGUGGACAUUCAUGAAUGAUUAAAUUAGAAAAUAUGACAGUCCCUGCUAUUUAAUGGGAACUGAAUAUAAUUGGAAAGAAAACCACAUUCUUUAGUCAUUGUAUCAACUGAUAUUUUGUUUACCAAAUGGCUUUGGCGAGAAUAUGCUCUAAUACUGACAUUUGUUACCCUCCACGGCUCUUGCAUAGGGAGAAAUGCUUGUGGAAUUUCUUUUUUUUUUACUGGCUGGGGGAAAGGCUACCUACUGCAGUCUUAAAAAUGACCAAGUUCUUUCAGAAAAAAAGAAUUUAGGUAUAAAUUGGCACUGAAUUUUAAAAUGUUCCUGGGAUAUAAAACAUUUUCAUAAAAAUGAAUAACUGUGUUAGGAACCUCAGGAUUUAAUUAAAAUGUCCUGAAUUACAACUGUCUUCACUGGCCAUAAAUAUCUACAACCCUCACCACCCCCCUUCUGCAAUAUCUGGCUAUCUCUCUGUCCUAUUUCGUCUCCUGAAUUUAAAUGUUCAUUGUACUUCUUGGAAAUCAGAGUAACACAUAUUUAUCAGAUACGUGUUGGGCUUAGUUGUUGGGGCAUUUGCGUACGUGAUGGCAUGGACGCCCAAGCACACGAGAAUAAGCUCUGUAGCAUAGUCUCAUAUGCCUGUCGCUGUCUAUGCUACCGCCAUAUGCUGUUCCCCUCAGAUUUGCUGAACAUUCCUCUGCACACACAGGGCCAUUUCAGGAAGCCUGCUGCAGACUGUUUUGAGCCAUGUCCACUGACAUUAGUGCUACUUUGAGAGCUGCCCCCGAGGUACUGCCUAGAAAUUUCAGAGACCCUCCUUUCUGCCAGAACAAUUUCAUCGAGAUGAAAUCGAAAUCUGGCUUGAUACUGAGAAGGACAUUUGCGCUUAAUGCCCGUGGAAAAUUCUGUGUUCGCGCACCUAACGGAGCAUAAGAGUUUAUUUUCCGAUCAGCUGCAGAAGUGACAUGGCACUGCCAGCCAAGAUCAGCAGAGACGUGACAUUUACGGGUGGACUGGGAGCAUCUGACAAGGUGGCGCACACCUGCAAUCUCAGAACCUUGGAGGAGGAAGCAACUACAUCCCUGAGAGUCGGUGGACAGUCUGAUCUCCGGGCCAAAUUAGCUUCCCACAUGCUUUUUGCUUGGGAACUGAAACCAGUUUUUCUAAUUAAUGAUUAAUUAAUUUUGUGCUGUGAAGGAUUAGAUACAAGGUCUCAGACUACCACAAAAGCAUUCUACUGCUGGUCUAUAUCCUCUGCCCUUGAUUAUUUUUUAUUUUAAAACAUUUAUUUACUUUAUUGUGUGUGUAUGUGUUGGCCUGCAUGUAUGUAUAGCAUUGAACUUGUUUCUUCCUCAGCCAUCCCAAGUACUGGGUAUACAGACAUGUACCGUCAUGAACAUGUUUUUUAAUGUUAUGAACCCUUCUGUGUACACUUGAUAAAGGCUUGGCAUAGGAGGGAGAAGAGGAGGAAAACCAGUAGUUUUAAGGACAGACAUGUGGGCAUGGGAUGGUUCAGUUCACUCAUGAGAUGCCAUCUUGUGGAUAUGGCAUGGUCAUGAACUCACAGUAGCUGUUAUUUCUGCACAAGAUAUCAACAAGUCCAAGCUGUUCAGAAUUUCAACAUGGAUGUGGUGGGGCAUGAUCCCUGCCCUUGUCAGAGAAGCUAUUAGCAUGGGUAGCCAUGUGGGAAGGAAAAUCAGUCUUCUCUGAAAGUAUGGGCACUGGUACUUUGCCGGUGCUCCAGAGGAUGGGCUCACACCCGUGUACACACGAGCAUCACUAAUUGAGUUUAUGAGUUUUUAACAAAAAAAAAAAAAAAGAAAAAAGAAAAAAGAGGACAUGAAGUUGGAAAGGGGUCUGUUGGGAGAAAUCUGGGGGAAGCUUGAGGGAAGAAUGAGGGGGUGGAUAUGAUUGUAUUUAUUUGCAUAUAGGCAUGAUAUUCUUAAUAAAUUUUAAGAAAUAAAGUAACCAAAUGUCUAACAUUAUUAUGACAUCCAUGUACUAGAAGGGGAUGUAGUUGAUGAUGAAAUCCUUUACAGAUGUUGCUGAAUGGUGUGGAAUUGGCAGGCUGAUGCCAUCACACCAUCUUCAACUAAUUCAGUGAUUGAAUCCUUUCUCCUCAUUAAACUUUUGCCUCAGAUAUCACCUGAAUGGCUGUUCCCUGAAGACGAAGUCAUGUCCUAACCAAAUGACUACUCUACCUUGUGACUCUGUUUUAUUGUAAAUAGAUAUGUAUUUAUGUCAUA